CAAUCAUAUCACAUUGAAACACCAGUUUUUGUUUGAUCACCAAAGUUAAGCAGUGUUGAACCUGGUUAGUACUUCAAUCAGGGACCACUUGGGAAAACCAGGUAGUG